AACAGAGGAUGCAAGCGUUAUCCGAAUUAAUUGGGCGUAAAGCGUCUGUAGGUGGUUUUCUAAGUCUUUUGUUAAAUACUAGAGCUCAACUUUAGUUUGGCAUAAGAAACUGGAUUACUUGAGUAUGACAGAAGCCACGGGAAUUCCCGAUGUAGCGGUGAAAUGCGUAGAGCUUGGGAGGAACACCAAAGGCGAAAGCACGUAGCUAGGUCAUUACUGACAUUAAAAGACGAAAGCUAAGGUAGCAAAUGGG
rnacentral:rRNA from 1 species